CUCCUCCCAAAGCGUAACGGAGGAGCACGAAGGUUAGCUAAUCCUGGUCGGACAUCAGGAGGUUAGUGCAAUGGCAUAAGCUAGCUUGACUGCGAGCGUGACGGCGCGAGCAGGUGCGAAAGCAGGUCAUAGUGAUCCGGUGGUUCUGAAUGGAAGGGCCAUCGCUCAACGGAUAAAAGGUACUCCGGGGAUAACAGGCUGAUACCGCCCAAGAGUUCAUAUCGACGGCGGUGUUUGGCACCUCGAUGUCGGCUCAUCACAUCCUGGGGCUGAAGUAGGUCCCAAGGGUAUGGCUGUUCGCCAUUUAAAGUGGUACGCGAGCUGGGUUUAGAACGUCGUGAGACAGUUCGGUCCCUAUCUGCCGUGGGCGCUGGAGAAUUGAGGGGGGCUGCUCCUAGUACGAGAGGACCGGAGUGGACGCAUCACUGGUGUUCGGGUUGUCAUGCCAAUGGCACUGCCCGGUAGCUAAAUGCGGAAGAGAUAAGUGCUGAAAGCAUCUAAGCACGAAACUUGCCCCGAGAUGAGUUCUCCCUGAGACUU
rnacentral:rRNA from 1 species